GAUGAACGCUGGCGGCGUGCCUAAUACAUGCAAGUCGAGCGAACGGACGAGAAGCUUGCUUCUCUGAUGUUAGCGGCGGACGGGUGAGUAACACGUGGAUAACCUACCUAUAAGACUGGGAUAACUUCGGGAAACCGGAGCUAAUACCGGAUAAUAUUUUGAACCGCAUGGUUCAAAAGUGAAAGACGGUCUUGCUGUCACUUAUAGAUGGAUCCGCGCUGCAUUAGCUAGUUGGUAAGGUAACGGCUUACCAAGGCAACGAUGCAUAGCCGACCUGAGAGGGUCAUCCGGCCCACUGGAACUGAGGCACGGUCCAGACUCCGACGGUGGGCAGCAGUAGGGAAUCUUCCGCGAUGGGCGAGAGCCUGACGGAGCAACGUCGCGUGAGUGAUGAAGGUCUUCGGAUCGUAAAACUCUGUUAGUAGGGAAGAACAUAUGUGUAAGUAACUGUGCACAUCUUGACGGUACCUAAUCAGAAAGCCACGGCUAACUACGUG
rnacentral:rRNA from 1 species